rnacentral:lncRNA from 1 species
AUUUGCGGGGAUGCUACACAGUUAGGAGUGGGACUAUGUAGAAUAAGUAGUUAUUUUUAGAAUGUAGAUAUCUAGUGUAUAGUGUAAACAUGGAUAGAUAACUACUGAAAAGGUGGUUUAACAAAUAGAAUGGAUGAGUAGUCAAAAAAGUAGUUACCAUUCGUAGUAUAGGAGGUAGUAUCUCGGGGUAGUAUAAGGAAGAUGGGAGAGAGGAAGAAAAUGCCAGACUGUGAUAGUCAUGAGCCAGGAUUAAGCUUGGUACUUCCUCUUUGUUUCUUUUGUUUUCUUUGUUGUUGAAGAAUAAUAGAUAGUUUCUGAAUACUGAGAAGUGAGUCUGUGGAAUAAAUCAGAGAUUGAUUUAUGAGUUAUUGAUUAUGUAAUUGGAAUACUAAGUGAUUAAAUUAUAUGAGAAGUUAAUGGAAGAUUGAUUAUGGAUGGAAGAUUAUGAUUGUUGUUUAUUGAGAGUUGUAUGUGUGUGUUUCGAUAGAGAAAGUCUGUGAUUAUAGGAAUUUUGUGAAUUCAGAUUGGUUGGAGUAAAGUCUAUUAUUCCUAGUGUUGGAUUGAAUUUAUUAA